rnacentral:rRNA from 1 species
UACGUAGGGGGCUAGCGUUGUCCGGAAUCAUUGGGCGUAAAGCGCGUGUAGGCGGUCCGGUAAGUCCGCUGUGAAAGUCGGGGGCUCAACCCUCGAAAGCCGGUGGAUACUGUCGGGCUCGAGUACGGAAGAGGCGAAGUGGAAUUCCUGGUGUAGCGGUGAAAUGCGCAGAUAUCAGGAGGAACACCAAUUGCGAAGGCAGCUCGCUGGGACGUUACUGACGCUGAGACGCGAAAGCGUGGGGAGCAAACAGG